rnacentral:tRNA from 1 species
GCUGGGGUGCAGCUCAGGGGUAGAGCACUGGCCUAGCAUGUGCAAAGGCCCUGGGUUCCAUCCCCAGCCCCACA